GCCUUUACAAAGGUUACCCGUCCACUCUCUCUCGGUACGAUCUGGUACAGACCUGCGUGACACUUUUUACCCUGUCACGGAACUCAUCAUUCGGACUGGUACCACGGUUUUCGACGAGAGUCUAUUACACUAAUUAGAGCCAUCGUUACACUGGAUUUUUGAAAUGAACAGACAUAAUGGAGUCUAAUAAGUGUAAUGAAAUUUAGAUACGAUUUGCUUUUACUGAUUAAAUAUCGUACCACUUAUUUUACAUACCGAGUGCACUUGAAUGCAGUUUAUCUAUUACGUCGGUGUAUCAGAUUAGAUCUGAGGUGUAAGCUACUGAAUUUGGAGAGUAUUAAAUAACAGUCUGCAGUUUUAUCUGACUGCCUAGGAUUUAUAAAUAGCCGUUUGAAAAAAGUGAUUCCGGAAACGAGUGUACCGGGGAAUAGCUGGCCAUUGGUCGAAGCUGCGGAUGCAACAAGUGUCACUCGGCCGUGAAAUCUACCUCCUGGAGGGGCACCUCCGCGGAUGGAGGAAGCAGGAGAAAUCAUGGGAGGGAGAAUUGAGGGGUGGCGAACAAGAGAGAAAGAGAAAAGUAUCUCAGCUGGUGGUGCAGCUGGCCAAGAUGCGGGGAUCGGACCAGCGCAACUUCGAGGCCUAGGUCGCUGCUUGCUUAUCGACCACGACCACUCUCAGAGCUUUCGAACUGUAUUUCAAUUUCAAUUAGCGGUGGGAAUUUCAGGAGAGUAUUUUCAUCUUCAAAGGGGAAUAUAGUUAAAAACUGAAGCGCGAAGUUAUUAAACUGAUAUUUCGCAGACUAUCAAAGAAUUUUCGUUUGACCGAAGGAGACAGGACUUAGUUAAAUCAAGACUCUACUGGGACGAAUUUAUUCUACGUUCUACAUAAAAUUUAGGAGAAAAAUUUAUAAACAAAUUCUGAAUAAAAUUUAUGAAUAAAUCAGUAUUCAAUUUUGAAUUAAUAGAAGAAAUCGAUUUGCAACAUUCAGUUUUGAACUCGCAUCAUUAAAUCCAUCGCUGACCACCCGGGGACGUGCAGUUUUCGCGACGGCUAAUCAAGAUGAUCGGAUGCAUUAUUAAUCGGGUGUACAGAGCUUCAAGCAGAUGAAUUAUGAAGUCUAUACACAUCAAGACAUGAAUUAUGAUCGAUCAGAAGAGCCGUCCUGCCUAAAAGGUUACCUCUAUUUCCGGAACGACUAGUGAAACGAACAGGGGAAUGAUAGUAAUGAUUAAAAGAAUAAUAAAAACAAUAUAAAGGGGUGGCUGGCAGACGAGCGAGGUGGCGCUGUAUCAUUGGAAGAGGAGAGGAGAGCUUUUCCAGCAUCGACCGGGCUUCCUCAUCGUCCACCAGCAACUGCGGUCACACGCUCGCACGCACACGGAUCUCUCUUCCUGCUCAGGCGACCUUGAACCUGAACCUACAGACCCACUCCCUCUUUCUCUCUACUUCUCUGAUCUCUCUCCCGUCGACCGAAAAGCUUCGUAAAAAUCGAUACACCGUUUGUUAUUUGCAGCUACCGCAAGGUUGCUUUCUUUUGUUUCCAAAGAUCGACAUCACUAACAAUAGUGUCAAUGUCUUACAAUUUUUGUACUUAUAAUCGAUGUUCAAAUGAAUUAAAGUUAUUUCGUAUGAA